rnacentral:rRNA from 1 species
UACAGAGGUGUCGAGCGUUGUUCGGAAUUACUGGGCGUAAAGGGUGCGUAGGCGGUCGCGUGUGUCGGAUGUGAAAUCUUGCCGCUCAACGGCGAAACGGCAUCCGAAACUACGUGACUCGAGGACAGGAGAGGAAGGCGGAAUUCUCGGUGUAGCGGUGAAAUGCGUAGAUAUCGAGAGGAACACCGGUGGCGAAGGCGGCCUUCUGGACUGUUUCUGACGCUGAGGCACGAAGGCUGGGGGAGCAAACAGG